AUCACCUUCAUAUAACCACUGACAUACAGACCUUCAGAUAGCAUUUACCUAUUGUUUAUUUAGAUAUUUGUUUUCCAAUGCUUUUUUAACAGGGUUUUAUGUGUCUUGCUUAUAGGUGACAACGACAGAAAACCAGGUCUAGCAAGCAGUUUAUCAUGAUUGAGAUCUUUUGUAGUUGAAAAAAAAACUAAUAAAAAACAAAAAAUUAGGAAGGCAUUUUAGGUAUCAUGAAAUUUUGAAACCCAUCAUUCUAUCUUCACCUCUAAAGAUUUUGUUGGUAGUUAGGCAAAUUAUAUAUGCGCGUGUUUAUACAUACACACACAUCAGGCAAAUGCAUUAGUCUGACAGUAUUCUUAAGCUUGUCUUUCUUUUUCUUCUUUUUGGCAUUGAAAACCCAAGUUUCUCUAAAAUUAUUGAAGCAGGGUCUCUGAGUAAGGAUCCUUUCCAAAAUAUAUACUCAUUUAAAAAAAUUUCAUUCUGUUUACAUUAAUAAAAGGCAAAAGUUUCAAUUACUGAAAAUAUUUGAAAAUUACCAUUCUGAGGCAAGACCACUGUUUUUCUUUUAAUACAUAGGGUAUGGUUAAGCAGAAAGAGCCCACGAAGCAUUCAGCCCUCACCAAAACCCUUUGCACAACGUGGAAAGGGUCCAACCAGGACACUUGAUUUCUAGUCGCAGAUUCUUAGAUUCCUUAUUAGUAAAAUACAUAUAAUAUUUUUUAUUUUUCAGAAACAUUGGCCAAUUGAGGGUGGUGAAAUACUAUGUCAUACCACAUAGAAGGUGCUUCGUAAUGGGCACUUCUUUUUCAUUAUUACUUCACCACUGAUUAAGGACCACACGUAUAUAAGCCUUUCUCAGGACGUAACACAGGCAACACGGAAAGAGCUGGCUUGCGAGCUCCCUGCUUAACAGAAGGCUCAGUUGCCCAAGUGACGAAGGCAUUGUGGGGCACGAACCAGGCUUUGGUGAAUUUAUCUCAUUAUACACCAGGAGUUAUAAUUUAAAAACCAGUGUCAUAUAAAGAAGAAAAAAGAUAUGGUGAGAUACAAUACCAUUAACACUUCUUCAGAAACGGAUUUUAAAGCAGAACUUCCAUGACUGUGAAAUCCAACCGGGUGCGCGACCACGAGGAAGGAUGGCGAGGGAGGAAACCGCGCUUUGUUGUUGAGGUGCAGAAAGUUUAAUAUUAACCUGAAUUUGAUUACCGGACUCCUCAGUACUUCAUUCGAUGAUGUUGACUUGGUAAUUUGAUUGCUAUGCAGAUGUGAGCUGUUCUGAUUACAUUAAAAUACGUAAAGGAAAUGAGAAAAUAUUGCCAGACAACAUGCAAAAGGGUGCUGGGUACCCCGCUGCUUGCACAUCCUCCAGAGGGAAGAAUUUGAAUGGUGAUAACAGAUGGGUCUUAAGAGUUCUUUCCUGUGAAGAGCAUUCCCCCCAUAAUAAGAUGAGGUGCCAUCAAUUCCAGACAAAGUGGUGAGUUUUCACAGAGAUUGAAAUCUUUCAAAAGUAUCCCACAGUCUUAUAAAAACACAGCUCAUGGCAGUCCUCCUAGAUAGGAUGACAGUUCCAUGGGCUACAGAGAGGGGAGCAUAUUAUGAAGGAAGCUGUGGCCAGGACUCCAUAUCACAGUGACGUGGCCAAGAGAGACCCUGGAAACCGGGAGUGGAAGCCACACAGGCCACGGAGGAGGAGAUCACCUGGGAGCUGGAGCCAUGUGGGCCACGGAGGAAAAAAACAGGCCCUGAGCAGGAGACACACAGGCCACGGAUGAACAGAACAGCUGGGAGCAGGAGACACACAGGCCAUGGAUGAAUAGAAUGGCCGGGAGCAGGGGCCACAGAGGAACAGAACAGCUGUGAGCAGGAGCCACGUGGGCCACAGAGGAGCAGCACAGCCAGGAGCAGGAGACACACAGGUCAUGGAGGAGCAGAACAGCCGGGCUCACUCUCCAGGCAGGUCCAGCCAAGAUGGAGAAGUGAGCAGGAUGCUCAGGUGAGCUCUCUCAAAACAGAAGCCAGGGUAGGACGUGGUCUGCACCUGUUCAGCUGCAGCUGCACUGCCUGCAAGGUUGUCUCAGAGCCUGGGAAGCACCUGCACAUGGCCUGGCUCAAGGCCACAGAGACAGAGACUUUCGACCAGUUAUCAUGGCAGAAAACUUCACCUUCCCAAUGAAUGUCUUUAACAUUGGGAAGACGAUGGGGAAAAACACUCGUGGCUCAUUGUUUCUAAAAAACAAGAUUAACAUAGGUUGCCAGAAAAAGAAAUAAGACACUCAAUUAAAUUAGAUUCAGAUACACAGUGAAUAGUUUUUUAAAUCGUAAAUAUGUUCUAUGAAUGCUGUCUGUUUUAGUCUGACAAACCUGACAUUCUUAGAUUCAUGUCAUCGAUGAUUUCCAAUGUGGAUUUCUAAGUAGUCCUUAGGAAAAUUAGAACAAUUUCCUGAGGACACUCACAAAUCUUCCAAGCUACAAAGACACAGUCUUUUAAAACAGAUGACUCCCAACAGAGAGCCAACAGAGAGAGCAUUUCCUGUGGACCACACUUUGACUGUCUCCCGAUUCUCAUCCCCAGGCUCACAAGAGUGCGUACACUGCGGACUCUCCGCUUCUCCUUCUGACGCCCACAUCCUGUCAUGCUUCUUACUCACAACACUUUCCUUCUGCUGCUCAUAAAAAUCUUUAGUGGGUUUGGGGUUGUAUCAAAGCCAUUGACACUUAAAUUUGAAAGUAAUCAACCCAUGUCAUUUACUCCCUAGAUCUACUUCAAAAUGCUUGGACAUAUUUCAAAGACAUCUUUGUAGGUUUCCUUUUUAAUUCUUAUUUGUAAAUUGACUAAUAAUAAUUGAACCUAUCUGUGGGGUGCAUAGCGAUGUUUCAAUCCAUAUAAAGUAUAGUGAUCAGAUCAGGGUAAUUGGUGUAUACAAUAUUCACAACAAUUUAAAUUAGACUCCCAUUAGUUCAGAUGAUCUGCUGUAAACAAUCAGAAAACAAAGACUUGAUACUCACUUAUUAAAUGUGGAAAACACAGCACUUAUGAAGUACAGCUUCAGUGUAUAUAAAUGACAGCUUUCAGUCUAUUCUGAAAUAAUACAUAACAUGCCAUUGGUAUUGCUUGUUCCUGAAUAAUUCACACAUCAGUUUUCCUGAGGUUGCAAAUGACAGUGUCUUUUUUCUGAAACAUGACAGGCAAUUAGCCAUUAUCUAGCAUCUAAAUAGUCAACUUGCUCCCCAGAGUUUUUCUAGAUUAAUUCUUCCAUUUAGCCUAUAAGAAAAUGGAUCAAGAUUUUUUCCUCCUUUGUAACAGAAUUUAUUAAUAGACUCACUUUGUUUUUGACUGAGUAUACAUUUCCCCACUUUGAGAAUUCAUUAUGUCUGUGUGGCCCAAUAUCACAUUUCCUAACCACCUAGGACUGCUGGGCACUUGAUGGAUGGCUAGUCUGAAUUGGGAUGUGCAUGAUUGGAAAUGCACACCAGACUUUAAAGAUUUAUAAUAAAGAAAACUGAGUGCAAUAUUUCACAUUGAUUACCUGCUGAAAUCAUAGCAUUUUUGAAAUAGUGGGUUAAAUGAAAUAUAUUACUAAAAUGUUAAUGUGGCUAUUAGAAAAUUUCAAAUGUAUAAAAGCAGCUCACACAAUAUUUGUAUUGGAUAGUGUAGCGUUAGACAAUUGGUUUUAUGUGGGUAAGAGUUGAGUUGUUUCUUAUAUGUUUAUAUUCUUAGAGACUUGCUAUUUAUGUUUAUAUUCUUAGAGACUGUUCUUUAAACAGUAAACUACUUUCUCUAUAUCUCCUUCCUUACCUUUUGCAUUUACUGUGAAACUUACCGAAAUGAGGCCUCUGUUUUUAUCAAUUGCAAUACGUCUGCUCAAAAAAUAUUCAAAUUGAUACUCACAUUGGUUUUACAAUGUGCGACCUUCUGUUUCCACCUAACAGAUUUUUAUACAGCACCGAGCCUUUCUCUCUUUGAGAAGUUCUACGUAGAUUGUUUUUCUUUUAUUUUCAAUAUUUAUUUUUAAAAUUGACAAAUUAUAAUUGUACAUGUUUAUGGGACACAAUUUGAUGUUUUGAUAAUAUCUGUGUUGCAUAAUGAUCCAAUCAGUUGUGGUUAGUGUAUUCAUCACCUCAUGCAUUUAUAAUUUCUUCCUGGUGAGAACAUUCAAAAGCUUCUCUUUCAGCUAUUUUGCAAUAUACAAUGUUUGACUGUUAACUGUAGUCACCCUACUGUGAGAUAGGACAUGAGAACUUCUUUCAGGUUUGUCCAUGUUUUCAGAAAUCACCACCUUGCUCCAGUUAGAAUCGCUAUUAUAAAAAAGACAAAAGAACAUAUGGCAGGGCACGGUGGCUCAUGCCUUUAAUCCCAACAGUUUGGGAAGCCGAGGCUGGAGGAUCACCUGAGGUCAGGAGUUUGAGACCAGCCUGGCCAACAUGGUGAAACGGUGUCUCUACUAAAAAAUACAAAAAUUAGCCGGGUGUGGUGGUGGGCGCCUUAGUCCCAGCUAUGCAGGAGGCUGAGGCAGGAGAAUGGUGUGAACCCGGGAGGCGGAGUUGCAGUGAGCUGAGAUGGCGCCACUACACUCCAGCCUGUGCUACAGUGUGAGACUCCGUCUCAAAAAUAAAUAAAUAAAUAAAUAAAUAAAUAAAUAAAUAAAUAAAUAAAUGCAUUAGAGGAUAGUCUUCAGGUAGGAAGAAAACGAUCCAAGGUGGAAGGAAGAUAAUAAUUAUCGAUAGAGGGAGAAAAUGAGUGGACAAAUCUAAAUGAAUAUUGAUUACAUGAGCCAUUAAAAUAAUGCUUUGUGGGAACAAAAGUACAUACAGAAUGAAAAUACAUUCAAAACUGCACAGAAGUUGGAAGCAGAUGAUGAUAUUAAAUGUUUGAAGAUUUUGAAUUAUGUAGGAAGAGAUAAAUUAUUUUUACUAACCUUUAUACCUUUAGACAAUUUUCUAAAAGAACAGAUAAUUAACAAGCUAAAAGAGCAGAAAAUAGAAUUACGAAAAAAAAAAAAAACUCCAUCAAUUCAAAAAAAAAAAACAAGGACAAUUCAAUUAGAAAAAAAACAAAGUAAAAUCAAAUAGCCAAAUAGGAGAGGUAAGUAAAAUAACUAUUAACAAUGGCAGCAAAGGCUGGAACAUUGGACAUCCACAAAGUACAACUGCUUAUAAGAGGUAUAGCCUUAUACAAGGAUUAAAAAAAAAAACAUUAAAAUACCAGGAUGAAAAAACCUGCACUGUGCAUUCCGUCCAAAAAAAAAGAAAAAGAAAAAAUUACACUGAUAUCAGACAAAUAAUUCUUUAAGGAAAUAGGCAAUAUGAGGGAUCAAGAGGAAAAACAAAGACAAAAGUUUUAAUUUCCCAGCAAAAACUUCUUUUCUCCAGUAAAAAUCAUUUUAAUAUUGUAAUUGAAAUUUGUAGGCAAUAGACUAAUUAAUCUGCUAUCCUGAUGAGAGAUAGGUGACUAAUAUAACAGAGACAAAAUUCAGCAUCAUUGUAAAAUAUCUGAUCAUAAUUAACAUCUUAUUGAUGCAUAAAAAUGCUACACCUAACAACUCCACAAUACAUAAUUUUCUCAAAUACACAAAAGAGUUUACCAAAUCCGAACACAGACUAGGAAACAUAUUAACUCUCUAAUAAUAUCAAGUGACAAAUUUAUCUAGGAAAUAGUUUCUACAGACAGUAGAAUCAAACUAUAUAAUGAUACUACAGAUAUGUAAUAUUUCACAAUUAUUUCAACAAUAAGCAAUACAUUUUUAAAUAACAUGACUGAAGGAGUAAGUUACUAUAUAUAAGUGUGUAAAGAUUACAAUAUCAUAGUCUAUUUUGAACUCAAUAGAAAUUAACCAAAAUUAUAACACUGAUAUAACCCAGAGUUUUUGUGAAAACUAAAUUUUUAAAUAUGUACAUUAGAAAAGAAUCAUUAUUUAUAAACAGAUAUGUCCGUAUUGUUUUCAAAAGCUGUGAAGAGAACAGUGAAUUGAACCCGAAGAAAUUGCUACACUUGUGAAAGGAAGAAGACAAUUCAUUUUUUUCACCCAAAUAAUGCAGAGAAAACAUUUGAGAAAGUUAAACAUAAACUUGUGACAAAAAUCGACCAGGAAUUAAAGUACUGUGAUGGGGUAUUUAAAAAUUUAUAGCAACACUAAUGCUUAGCAAUGAAAAGCUGAAUUCCUUGAGGUCAGGAGUUCGAGACCAACCCGGCCAACAUGAUGAAACCCCAUCUCUACUAAAAAUACAAUGAGCCAGACAUGGUGGCAUGUGCCCGUAAUCCCAGCUACUCGGGAGGCUGAGGCAGGAGAAUUACUUGAGCCCAGGAGGCAGAGGUUGCAGUGAGCCGAGAUUGCACCUCUGCACUCCAGCCUGGGUGACACAGCGAGACUCUGUUUCAAAAAAAAAAAAAAAAAAAUACACAGUUUAAUUUUAACAUCAGGCAAAACUAAUCUCUAGCUAACUUUGUAGAUGGGUUGGGAGAUGACUGACGGAAAACAUCAGGAAACAGCUGAUACACUACAUACUGAUCUGUAUAGUGUUUGCACUCUGUAAUCACUCAGACAGCUGUAUAGCUUAUUUGUGCACUUUUCUGCAUUUAUGCUAAAUGGUAUUUCAUUUUUUUUCUUGAAGAGGAAUGAAUAACAUGUUAUUUUUCCAUUUUCCUCAGGGCUAAGAUCCUCAACAAUUUUAGCUGGGAGGCUGUAUUUUACAGCGUUUCUGAGCACAUUCUUCACAGCUUGAAUCCCUGGAUCCAAAGCCCUCCACUGUGUGAUCUUAGGCAGGUUAAUUAAUAUUUAUGAGCUUCAGUUUUCUCAGCUGUAAAAUGGAAAGGAUAAUGUCCAUGUCAUGAUUUUAGCAGAGAAGGGCAUGUGAUAACGCCGCAUUUGGACCUUUCUGUGUAAACAGAGCAGGGCAUUUGUUAAGCAUGACACUUUGGUAGACUGUUUUGUGAUUUAAUCCUUAGACGUAUUUUAUUCUCAUCAGGCUAUAAUCUUGAACAUAUUUAACUAUUAUCAAUUCUCAUGACCUUUUCAGUAUAGUAACCUUAUCCAGGAGUAAUUAUGUAAAUGUAAUUAUGAACAUUUGAAAAUUAAAAACAAAUCAUGGGUGCCAGCCUGCCUUUUUAUUAUUUGCAAUAUUAUCAAAGUUCAUUGGAUAAAUGUGUGUACUUUAACUUUCCAUUUUUGAUUUAUACAUUUCUAUCAUAUAAAUGAGAGUCAGAAAUAAGAGAAGCUAAUUUCCUCCCUUUAUUGGUUAUUAUUUGGUGUGGGAGUGGCAGUGGCCUCCAUUCAGGAAGCAGCGCACGGGAGCCUGAUGGAGGCUGGGUGGUCUCAGCCCCCAGCAAGGUCUGUGCCCGGCGAAGGGGCCGCCUGGCCCCAGCGAGCACCGGCUUUGUUGGUAACUUGCAGAGUCUUUAUGUGGUUCAUUCAGAUCCUGUGCAAGAAAUCUAGGUAAACACACUCCCUCUCUUGCUUGGAUAAAUUAAGAUUGUUUUGUUUUACAUGGCAAAGGGUACUUCCUUUUCUUCCUCACUAGUGAAAAUACAGUAAAGUAUCACCUGUGUUAGUGAACAAAUGCAUUAGUAGUGGUAUUAUUAGGAUAAUGGAGCAGCCAACAACCCAGCACAGACCCUGGGAACUCAGAUUAAUUGCUACAAUGUGCCCACUCACCACUCGACUUGGUGUGAGUUGAGGGUGCUGUAGAUUCUGUUAAGAGAAUUUUGUCAACCUACAACAGAAGCAAACAAGGCAAGUAAAUAUCAAGGAGCCAAGAGAAAGGAAAACUCAGAGUGUCCUGAGAGAAGAGAAGGUAAGAAUGACAGAAUGAAUGUGUCUGUAAGACUGACUUGAUUUGGGAAACCCCGACCCAGACUUGGGUCAGUGAUGCGGCCACUGAACUUGCAAAGUGGGGAUGAAAGGCUGAGAAAAAUGAAAAGCAAAUGUAGUCAACUUCAUGAUGUUACCUAGGAUCAGCCCUGGCUUUGCGUCUAAGGCUUUCGGGAAAGACAUGGAGCAUUAAAAUUACCAAUUAUGAGCACACUUUAAACCCUUCCAGAAGGCCUUUAUGAUUACACACAUGCAGGCAAACUUUCUAAUUGCUGCUAUGGGAUCCUGCGAUGUCUAAUAUUGUAUUAAACCACGGUGCUAGCAUUUUAGUUACUUAUGCAAAAAUCACAUCUGCAAUUGAUAGAAAUAUUUAUCAGUGUGUUCACUAAAAUGAAAAUGCACUGAAGCAAGUAAUAACAUUUAAAACAAAUAGGAAAGCUCAAAUGAAAAUGAAGCAUUUGAAUAAUUACACAGUGUGUAGUCCAAAAUAAAUGAUAUCAAAAUCCACUUUUGUUUCAAAUCAAUAACACUAAAAUGUGACAGAAUCUUGAUGAUACUGUAUAACAAAAAUUUAAACCAUCAAAAUAUACUUGUAAAACAUUUCCAGACAAUGGGAUACUUGCUAUUCUCCUUUUGCACAAAACAAUUGGCUCCUGGAAAUGAUUAUUUUUUCCUUCAUAGUUUAUUAUUACAUAUAAGUCAUACAUUCUGAAUUAGGAUUCUAGUGUUUCAGAUUUGUGUUUUUAAGGACUGUAGUGAUUUAUUAUACGUUCACAUUGUUGUAGUUUGCUGAAGAUAUUCCCUGAGUGUUGUGAAGUCUGAUGCAAGAUCAAAUACUCUUUGAAUUUAUUUGUUUCGUUAAAUUUAGGAUGUUCACAACCAUAUAAAGGUCCUCAUCUUGAUUGUGGCUCCUAAAGUGCCUUCAGCAACCUCAG
rnacentral:lncRNA from 10 species